UAGGGAAUCUUCCACAAUGGGCGCAAGCCUGAUGGAGCAACGCCGCGUGAGUGAAGAAGGGUUUCGGCUCGUAAAGCUCUGUUGUUGGAGAAGAACGUGCGUGAGAGUAACUGUUCACGCAGUGACGGUAUCCAACCAGAAAGUCACGGCUAACUACGUGCC
rnacentral:rRNA from 1 species